rnacentral:rRNA from 1 species
UACGGAAGAUGCGAGCGUUAUCCGGAUUUAUUGGGUUUAAAGGGAGCGUAGGCGGACGCUUAAGCCUGCGGUAAAAUGUCGGCGCCCAACGCCGGUGUGCCGUGGGAACUGGGUGUCUUGAAUGUGCACAAGGCAGGUGGAAUUCGUGGUGUAGCGGUGAAAUGCUUAGAUAUCACGAAGAACUCCGAUUGCGAAGGCAGCCUGCUGGGGCAUGAUUGACGCUGAGGCUCGAAAGCGCGGGGAUCAAACA